rnacentral:rRNA from 1 species
ACUAUGCUUGGCCCUAAACCUCAGUAGUUAGAUAACAAAACUACUCGCCAGAAUACUACAAGCAACAGCUUAAAACUCAAAGGACUUGACGGUGCUUUACAUCCCCCUAGAGGAGCCUGUUCCGUAAUCGAUAAACCCCGAUCCACCCUACCCUCUCUUGCUCAGCCUAUAUACCGCCAUCUUCAGCAAACCCUAAUGAGGGCCACAAAGUGAGCGCAAACGCCACCGCCGCGAAUACGUUAGGUCAAGGUGUAGCCCAUGAGACGGUAAAAAAUGGGCUACAUUUUCUAUUUCAGAAAACCCACGAAAACCCUUAUGAAACUUAAGGGUCCAAGGAGGAUUUAGCAGUAAAUUAAGAAUAGAGUGCUUAAUUGAACCAGGCCAUAAAGCGCGCACACACCGCCCGUCACUCCUCUCAAAUAUAUUUAAGGAAUAUCCUAACUAAACGCCCUAAUAUUUAUAUAGAGAGGAUAAGUCGUAACAUGGUAAGCGUACUGGAAGGUGCGCUUGGAUAAAU